rnacentral:rRNA from 1 species
GACGAACGCUGGCGGCGUGCUUAACACAUGCAAGUCGAACGAAGUGGCGAACGGGUGAGUAACGCGUAAUCAACCUGCCCUUCAGAGGGGAACAACAGUUGGAAACGACUGCUAAUAACGCAUACUGAAGGCGGGGAAUGCGUCUGAUUAGCUAGUUGGAGGGGUAAAGGCCCACCAAGGCGAUGAUCAGUAGCCGUGCUGAGAGGAUGAACGGCCACAUUGGGACUGAGACACGGCCCAGACUUCUACGGGAGGCAGCAGUGGGGAAUCGUCCGCAAUGGACGAAAGUCUGACGAAGCAACGCCGCGUGAGUGAUGACGGCCUUCGGGUUGUAAAGCUCUGUUAAUCGGGACGCGGUACCGGAAUAGAAAGCCACGGCUAACUACGUGCCAGCAGCCGCGGUAAUUC